rnacentral:rRNA from 1 species
CCUACGGGUGGCAGCAGUGAGGGAUAUUGGUCAAUGGGGGCAACCCUGAACCAGCAACGCCGCGUGAGGGAAGACGGUUUUCGGAUUGUAAACCUCUUUCCUCUGUGAAGAUGAUGACGGUAGCAGAGGAGGAAGCUCCGGCUAACUCCGUGCCAGCAGGCGCGGUAAUACGGAGGGAGCACGCGGUGUACGGUUUUACUGGGUGUAAAGGUUGCGGAGGCGGGCUUGCAAGUCAGAAGUGAAAGCUAUGGGCUUAACCCGUAAACUGCUUUUGAAACUGUAAGUCUUGAGUGAAGUAGAGGUAGGCGGAAUUCCCGGUGUAGCGGUGAAAUGCGUAGAGAUUGGGAGGAACACCAGUGGCGAAGGCGGCCCACUGGGCGUUAACUGACGCUGAGGCACGAAAGCGUGGGUAGCAAACAGGAUUAGAUACCCGUGUAGUC